ensembl:rRNA 5S_rRNA 5S ribosomal RNA
GCUUAACGGGCCAUACCCUCCUGGCUCCCGCCUGAUCUCGUCUGAUUUCACGAAAGCUAAGCAGAAGUAGGCGCCUUGUUAGUACUUGAAUGGAAGACCGCCUGGGAAUUCCAGGUGCUGUAAGCU